rnacentral:rRNA from 1 species
AACGAACGCUGGCGGCAGGCCUAACACAUGCAAGUCGAGCGAGGACUUCGGUUCUAGCGGCGGACGGGUGAGUAACGCGUGGGAAUGUGCCCUUCUCUACGGAAUAGCCCUGGGAAACUGGGAGUAAUACCGUAUACGCCCUAUUGGGGAAAGAUUUAUCGGAGAAGGAUCAGCCCGCGUUGGAUUAGGUAGUUGGUGGGGUAAUGGCCUACCAAGCCGACGAUCCAUAGCUGGUUUGAGAGGAUGAUCAGCCACACUGGGACUGAGACACGGCCCAGACUCCUACGGGAGGCAGCAGUGGGGAAUCUUAGACAAUGGGGGCAACCCUGAUCUAGCCAUGCCUCGUGAGUGAUGAAGGCCUUAGGGUUGUAAAGCUCUUUCAGCUGGGAAGAUAAUGACGGUACCAGCAGAAGAAGCCCCGGCUAACUCCGUG